rnacentral:rRNA from 1 species
UACGAAGGGGGCUAGCGUUGUUCGGAAUUACUGGGCGUAAAGCGUAUGCAGGCGGAUCGUUAAGUCGGGGGUGAAAUCCCGAGGCUCAACCUCGGAACUGCCUUCGAUACUGGCGAUCUUGAGUCCGGGAGAGGUGAGUGGAACUCCGAGUGUAGAGGUGAAAUUCGUAGAUAUUAGGAAGAACACCGGUGGCGAAGGCGGCCCACUGGAUCGGUACUGACGCUGAGGUGCGAAAGCGUGGGGAGCAAACAGG